rnacentral:piRNA from 1 species
UGAGAACUGCCCCGCCUGCGGGACUUGGC